rnacentral:rRNA from 1 species
ACUCUUCCAUAAUACCAAAAUUUAACUCUGAUAUGAGAUAGACCCAGAGGACAAAUUUAUAAUAAUUCUAACCAUUUAUAUACGUUUGUUACACCUACGAUACUUACCUAUGGCUUUCUUUGUCAUACCGCUCUCAGCCAAAAUGAUCUUCAUCUCGUUUUUCUGGAUUGGUAGAACCUGUGUAGAUACCAUUGUAUGUACCCUUAUCAUAGCAAUUGGCCAUGUUGUUAUCCAAAUACAAAUAUGAAGACAGUAAUAGUAAUGUGUUUCCUCAAGGUUAAAUACAGGUGAACUAAGGAGAUUACACCAUUGGAUAUUGCGGAUAUGAUAUUAUACUACUGUAAUUCCUAUUCCCUACGUACUUGGUCAACUUGGUCAAAGACUAAAUAAAAGUUAGAUUUGUGUUUGCGUAUUUGAUCACUUUCUUUCAUAAACAAUCGAAAUGGCAGAAGUUACAUAUUUAGCCGACCAUCUUCAGAAUAGAAUAUUCUACGACACCAAAACGAAACUUUGAUUAAUUUUCGGUCGUUUGUGAUUCUCUUGUGUAUAUCAUUGUAUGAUUGCGGCAUUGCCUUUAUUAACUCUUAAUCUAAAUGUUUAGGCAUAACAAUCAUGUUUCUGACCUCAAAAAACAUGGUUUUCUUAAAUGCAAUGGAGGAUUUCUACGUAUAUUUGUAUUCUUUGUGCAUCAACACUUAGUCUUCUGGUUUCGUACUUGGAUAUGAGACUACCUUCAGUCGUCUGACAACACUAAUUUCAAAUCACCAAUGGAAACUGAAAAUAUAGGCCCAAAGUUUAACUACUAAUCUUUUAAGUUUUGCUAAUCUAUCUCUGUCAAUAUAGCAGCCUGAAUUCUCUCAAAGACUACUUAACUAGAUAUAAUCGAGCUAAAAGUUAACCUAAUAAACAACUUCACUUUGACUAAACAAGUAGUCUAGCUGUACAACAAUCACCUUCACUACCUAUUUUUCAUCUUGUAUCCCUAUUGAUGACAUUCUUUGCCGCCACCCAUAAAGAUACCAAACCUUAAUGUAAAUAUUUCAACUUACUCACUCUCGGAUCAAUAUAAACUGUAUCCUUCACUUGAAGGAAAUCACUUACUCAUCUACGCUUAAUCCACAUUCUGGUUGCAAAGGUCUAGUUGCUGCAAAAUCUUUCACUUUCUUGCGAAGAAACUAUGAUUGCGGUGACGUAUUGACUGUAGGACAAGUUGCAUCUUCCAAGUCCAACUCGAAAGAAAAUGUCAUCCUACCAAAGAUUGCAAGGCCCAGACCUGAUGUUCGCCAGAAGAAAGACCAAGCGCUGCGCACUAAUGCAUUGGGGGAUGUUAUUUUUGUUCCAUUCAUAUACGUUUUCAAACCAAGUAUACUUCGAAAUGAAUUGCCAGCUAGUAUCAUUUAUUUUCUAUUGGUUGGCCUUAUGCAUACUGCAAUCCUGUUCGCGUUAAUAGCCUUUCGUGCAUGCAAAUACUAUUUGAAACCUGCAGAGAGUUCCAGGUUCCACUUUGCCUCGCAGUUGGUGUUGU